rnacentral:rRNA from 1 species
AUUGAAGGCUGGCGGCAUGCCUUACACAUGCAAGUCGAACGGUAACAGGUCUUCGGAUGCUGACGAGUGGCGAACGGGUGAGUAAUACAUCGGAACGUGCCUAGUAGUGGGGGAUAACUACUCGAAAGAGUGGCUAAUACCGCAUGAGAUCUACGGAUGGAAGCAGGGGAUCGCAAGAACUUGUGCUACUAGAGCGGCCGAUGGCAGAUUAGGUAGUUGGUGGGAUAAAAGCUUACCAAGCCGAUGAUCUGUAGCUGGUCUGAGAGGACGAUCAGCCCUACUGCGACUCAACCACGGACCAGACUCCUACGGGAGGCAUCAGUGGGGAUUUUUGGGCAUGGGGCGACUGCCUGAUACACCAAUGCCGCGUGCAUGAUGAAGGCCUUCGGGUUGUAAACUGCUUUUGUACGGAACGAAAAGCCCCGGGUUAAUACCCUGGGGUCAUGACGGUACCGUAAGAAUAAGCACCGGCUAACUACGUGCCAGCCGCCGCGGUAA